AGUGAACGCUGGCGGUAGGCCUAACACAUGCAAGUCGAACGGCAGCACAGUAAGAGCUUGCUCUUACGGGUGGCGAGUGGCGGACGAGUGAGGAAUACAUCGGAAUCUACUUUUUUGUGGGGGAUAACGUAGGGAAACUUACGCUAAUACCGCAUACGACCUACGGGUGAAAGCAGGGGAUCUUCGGACCUUGCGCGAUUGAAUGAGCCGAUGUCGGAUUAGCUAGUUGGGGGGGUAAAGGCCCACCAAGGCGACGAUCCGUAGCUGGUCUGAGAGGAUGAUCAGCCACACUGGAACUGAGACACGGUCCAGACUCCUACGGGAGGCAGCAGUGGGGAAUAUUGGACAAUGGGCGCAAGCCUGAUCCAGCCAUACCGCGUGGGUGAAGAAGGCCUUCGGGUUGUAAAGCCCUUUUGUUGGGAAAGAAAAGCAGCAGGUUAAUACCCCGCUGUUCUGACGGUACCCAAAGAAUAAGCACCGGCUAACUUCGUG
rnacentral:rRNA from 1 species